rnacentral:rRNA from 1 species
CAGCCGCCGCGGGAAUACAGAGGGUGCGAGCGUUAAUCGGAUUUACUGGGCGUAAAGCGUGCGUAGGCGGCUUUUUAAGUCGGAUGUGAAAUCCCUGAGCUUAACUUAGGAAUUGCAUUCGAUACUGGGAAGCUAGAGUAUGGGAGAGGAUGGUAGAAUUCCAGGUGUAGCGGUGAAAUGCGUAGAGAUCUGGAGGAAUACCGAUGGCGAAGGCAGCCAUCUGGCCUAAUACUGACGCUGAGGUACGAAAGCAUGGGGAGAAAACAGGAUUAGAUACCCCUGUAGUCCCUGUCUCUUAUAC